rnacentral:lncRNA from 1 species
AUUCUUCCCUUCAGCAGCAUCAGACACCAGUAAUGAUAGUUAAUAACAUCCUAAAACAUAACAGUUCACACUUAGAAAUCAUCCUCUGUGUUUAAGGCCCUGUGAUGAGCACAGAAAUGAUCAAACAUAGACUCUGCCUUUGAAAAUCCUGGACAUAGAGUUUGGCACAGCCCAAAUGGACAGGACUUCUCCUACAUAUGCUUCACAGAAAAAAAUUCUUUCCUAUAAAGAGGCAAAAAAAAAAAAAAAAAAAAAGCUUUUAUUCCUAAAACUUCCUCAACAUGUCUGCCAUUGUUCUCAAUAUACAAAUUCAGAUUAAGCAGUCAGCAAGUGUAACACCCUUUGAUAUCACACUACUGCAGGUGCUAACGUCCCAACCAGUCGGCAAGAGCGUAACAUCCUCUGACAUCACACUACUGCAGGUGCUCACACCACA